UUUGGGCAAUGGGCGAAAGCCUGACCCAGCAACGCCGCGUGAAGGAUGAAAUCCCUCGGGAUGUAAACUUCGCAAGAACGGGAAGAAUAAGCCUGCGUAAAUAUCGCAGGUGAUGACGGUACCGUUUGUAAGCUCCGGCUAACUCCGUGCCAGCAGCCGCGGUAAUACGGGGGGAGCAAGCGUUGUUCGGAUUUACUGGGCGUAAAGGGCGCGUAGGCGGCCAGCGCAAGUCAGUUGUGAAAUCUCCGAGCUUAACUCGGAAAGGUCAACUGAUACUGCGCGGCUAGAGUGCGGAAGGGGCAACUGGAAUUCUUGGUGUAGCGGUGAAAUGCGUAGAUAUCAAGAGGAACACCUGCGGCGAAGGCGGGUUGCUGGGCCGACACUGACGCUGAGGCGCGAAAGCUAGGGGAGCGAACGGGAUUAGAUACCCCGGUAGUCCUAGCCUUAAACGAUGAAUGCUUGGUGUCUGGGGUUAUAAAGUCCCCGGGUGCCGUCGCUAACGCUUUAAGCAUUCCGCCUGGGGAGUACGGUCGCAAGACUGAAACUCAAAGGAAUUGACGGGGACCCGCACAAGCGGUGGAGCAUGUGGUUUAAUUCGACGCAACGCGAAGAACCUUACCUGGGCUAGAAUGCCUCUGACAACCCUAGAGAUAGGGCCUUCUGGGUAAAACCAGACAGAGUGCAAGGUGCUGCAUGGCUGU
rnacentral:rRNA from 1 species